rnacentral:rRNA from 1 species
UACGAAGGGGGCUAGCGUUGCUCGGAAUGACUGGGCGUAAAGGGCGCGUAGGCGGAUGGCACAGUCAGAUGUGAAAUUCCCGGGCUUAACCUGGGGGCUGCAUUUGAUACGUGUUGUCUUGAGUUCGGAAGAGGGUCGUGGAAUUCCCAGUGUAGAGGUGAAAUGCGUAGAUAUCAGGAGGAACACCGGCGGUGUAGACGGCUUUCUGGACCGUAGCUGACGCUGAGACACGAAAAGCGUGGGUAGCAAACAGG